CUGUGAGCGCUGAUGAGGCUGCCCGCACGGCUCCCUUCCACCUCGACCUCUGGUUCUACUUCACACUGCAGAACUGGGUUCUGGACUUUGGGCGUCCCAUUGCCAUGGUGAGUGUGAAAUGGUGCACAGGGCUCUGACCAGCACUGAGGACACUUAGUGUGGCUUGAAUUUGCCGAGUGACCUUAGACAAGUCACUUCUCCUUUAUCUCCUAGUAAACUGAGAGAAUAGGCCUGGAUGCCUUCAUAUCCUUAGCUCUAUGACUUGGCCCGUCAGGCAACUGCCAGCAAGUGGGGGGCCUGAAGAGUCAUACUUUGCCCCAACUCUCAUGGGGGAACUGGUGGUCCUGAACAGUCAUACUGUAAUACUGUAACCCCCUCUGGCCUGUGUCUGGAAGCAGGUGAACCAGGUUGAACCAAAUCACCAAGACAGACAAAGGGGUAUAGGAAAGGAAGUGGAGCACCGCACCCCCACCUCCGUCUCCCCUGUCCUUCCCCAUUACCUUGGGAUAGUAUUAUUUUUUCUGGAGUUGAAGGGCGUAGGCUGAUUUUGCAUAUUA
rnacentral:lncRNA from 10 species